AACUAACGCUGGCGGCGUGCCUAACACAUGCAAGUCGUACGAGAAAGUUGGCUUCGGCCGAUGAGUAAAGUGGCGCACGGGUGAGUAAUGCGUGGAUAAUCUGCCCUUUAGUUGGGAAUAACGUACCGAAAGGUGCGCUAAUACCUGAUAAUACUGCAUAACUACUGUUGUGUAGUCAAAGAAGGCCUCUGUUUACAAGCUUUUGCUGAAGGAUGAGUCCGCGUACCAUUAGCUGGUUGGUGGGGUAAUGGCCUACCAAGGCUACGAUGGUUAGCUGGUCUGAGAGGAUGAUCAGCCACACUGGAACUGAGACACGGUCCAGACUCCUACGGGAGGCAGCAGUGAGGAAUAUUGCGCAAUGGGGGCAACCCUGACGCAGCAACGCCGCGUGAGUGAGGAAGGUUUUCGGACCGUAAAGCUCUGUCGAGCGGGAAGAAAUGUAUCAUGGCUAAUAUCCAUGAUACUUGACGGUACCGCUAAAGGAGCACC
rnacentral:rRNA from 1 species